AAUUAGCUAAACAAAGAAAUCAUGGCGGAUUGUUUACAUUUGGCAGCGCCCGGGCUGCGCCGACCGCCGGCCCCGAGCCGCCGCGGGCUCCGAGGAGUCGGCCGAGCUGCUCCCGCGCCCUGGCCGGCUGGGUCUUCAUCCUCAUUGUACUCCCUUGGCAUCUCAUGGUGACGUGACUUAGAAGGUGGUGCAGAGGGACUUACCAAUUUGGGAUUCUUCCAGGAGCUGAAAACUGAUUGCAAAUAUGAAACAGAUUUCACUACAGGACUUGAACCCUACAUUAAAAAACAACAAGCUCCCCAAAAUAAUUGAAAAAGAUCUUCACCAAAGAGUAGCUGCAAUGUGAAUGGCAGGAUAUGAAGCAAGUAAGAGAUGGUGAAAAGAUUAUCUUAAGCUUGGAAUUAAGUGAUGAAAGGGACCUUCGAAAUUAUCAACUCUAAAUACUUCUUUACAGGAAAAUUGAAAGCAGUUAAGAACCUGCCCCCUACCGUGGAGUUCUUGGUGCCGUGAGUUGGAGUUCUUGGUGCCUGGGUGCGUCCCCAAGG
rnacentral:lncRNA from 10 species